UGUCAUAAGCUCAAGAUGUACCUAAGACCUUCAUAGACCUUAGUGACCCUGAUUAAUUUAAUCCCACGAAAGCUAAGACACAAACUGGGAUUAGAUACCCCACUAUGCUUAGCCCUAAAUCUCGAUGCUUUCUAUAUACUAAAGCAUCCGCCCGAGAACUACGAGCMCAAACGCUUAAAACUYUAAGGACUUGGCGGUGCCCUAAACCCACCUAGAGGAGCCUGUUCUGUAAUYGAUAACCCACGUUAACACCCGACCGUCCCUUGCCAUAAAACAGCCUACAWACCRCCGUCGCCAGCUCACCUCCUCUGAGAGUUCAACAGCGAACACAAUAGCCUAAACCCGCUAAUAAGACAGGUCGAGGUAUAGCCCACGGGASGGAAGAAAUGGGCUACAUUUUCUAACAAUAGACAAAUUCACGGAAGGGGGUAUGAAACCGCCCCCCGAAGGCGGAUUUAGCAGUAAAGCGGGACAAUAUAUGCCCUCUUUAAACUGGCCCUGGGGCACGUACAUACCGCCCGUCACCCUCCUCACAAGCUACAUUAUUCAUAAUA
rnacentral:rRNA from 1 species